GUGAAUCAUCAAAUUUUUGAACGCAAAUUGCGCUUCCUUGCAUCCCGGGAAGUAUGCCUGUUUGAGUGUCAGUAUUAACAAAAAAUCGGUUUUGUUGCAAAUUUUUACUUUUCCGGAGUUUUUGCUAUCUUAACUUUUUUGGUUAAUGGGCUUAAAAUUGACCUUAUUUGCGCAUUUUUGUACGUACAUAAAUUUUUUUUUAUUCGUCUAUUCUUAAUGCCAAAAUCUUAUUAGAUGCGAUCACAUCGUGUGUUUUCGUGUCCAUAAAAUGUUCAUGAUUUGACCUCAAAUCAGGUAGUAG
rnacentral:misc_RNA from 1 species